CAAGACCUUGCGCUUUUGGAGCGGCCGAUGUCUGAUUAGCUAGUUGGUGAGGUAAAGGCUUACCAAGGCUUCGAUCAGUAGCUGGUCUGAGAGGACGACCAGCCACACUGGGACUGAGACACGGCCCAGACUCCUACGGGAGGCAGCAGUGGGGAAUUUUGGACAAUGGGGGCAACCCUGAUCCAGCCAUGCCGCGUGAGUGAAGAAGGCCUUCGGGUUGUAAAGCUCUUUCAGCCGGAACGAAACAGUCACGGCUAAUAACCGUGAUCACUGACGGUACCGGAAGAAGAAGCACCGGCUAACUACGUGCCAGCAGCCGCGGUAAUACGUAGGGUGCGAGCGUUAAUCGGAAUUACUGGGCGUAAAGCGUGCGCAGGCGGUUUUGUAAGUCAGAUGUGAAAUCCCCGGGCUCAACCUGGGAACU
rnacentral:rRNA from 1 species